AGAGUGUUAGUUAAAAUAAUAUUUAAAUUGCAUUUAAAAGUUAAUAAAAUAUAUUACACUUUA
rnacentral:tRNA from 1 species